UUUGUGGAGGGUUCGAUUCUGGCUCAGGAUGAACGCUGGCGGCGUGCUUAACACAUGCAAGUCGAACGGGAUCCACCAGCUUGCUGGUGGUGAGAGUGGCGAACGGGUGAGUAAUGCGUGACCG
rnacentral:rRNA from 1 species